AAUGGGCGAAASKGAHGCAGCAACGCCGCGUGGAGGAUGAAGGUCUUUGGAUUGUAAACUCCUGUCAGCAGGGAAAAAGGGAGGGGACCUCAUACGUUCCUGACUUGAUUGUACCUGCAGAGGAAGCCCCGGCUAACUCUGUGCCAGCAGCCGCGGUAAUACAGAGGGGGCAAGCGUUAUUCGGAAUUAUUGGGCGUAAAGGGCGCGUAGGCGGCUGAACAAGUGACGGGUGAAAGCCCUCGGCUUAACCGAGGAACUGCCUGUCAGACUGUUUGGCUUGAGACCGGGAGAGGUGAGUGGAAUUCCCAGUGUAGCGGUGAAAUGCGUAGAUAUUGGGAGGAACACCAGUGGCGAAGGCGGCUCACUGGACCGGAACUGACGCUGAGGCGCGAAAGCCGUGGGGAGCAAACAGGAUUAGAUACCCUGGUAGUCCACGCCGUAAACGAUGAGUGCUUGGUGUAGCGGGUAUCGACCCCUGCUGUGCCGAAGUCAACACAUUAAGCACUCCGCCUGGGGGAGUACGGUCGCAAGACUG
rnacentral:rRNA from 1 species